UCGGCGGGGAAGAAAUCGCAUGGGUUAAUACCCUGUGCGGAUGACGGUACCGGCAUAAGAAGCACCGGCUAACUACGUGCCAGCAGCCGCGGUAAUACGUAGGGUGCGAGCGUUAAUCGGAAUUACUGGGCGUAAAGCGUGCGCAGGCGGUUUGUUAAGAUAGGCGUGAAAUCCCCGGGCUCAACCUGGGAACUGCGCUUAUGACUGGCAAGCUAGAGUACGGCAGAGGGGGGUGGAAUUCCACGUGUAGCAGUGAAAUGCGUAGAGAUGUGGAGGAACACCAAUGGCGAAGGCAGCCCCCUGGGUCGAUACUGACGCUCAUGCACGAAAGCGUGGGUAGCAAACAGGAUUAGAUACCCUGGUAGUCCACGCCCUAAACGAUGUCAACUAGGUGUUGGAUGGGUAAAACCAUUUAGUACCGGAGCUAACGCGUGAAGUUGACCGCUGGGGAGUACGGCCGCAAGGUUAAAACUCAAAGGAACUGACGGGGACCCGCACAAGCGGUGGAUGAUGUGGAUUAAUUCGAUGCAACGCGAAAAACCUUACCUACCCUUGACAUGUCCAGGAGCCUGAAGAGAUUUGGGUGUGCCCGAAAGGGAGCUGGAACACAGGUGCUGCAUGGCUGUCGUCAGCUCGUGUCGUGAGAUGUUGGGUUAAGUCCCGCAACGAGCGCAACCCUUGUCGUUAAUUGCCAUCAUUUAGUUGGGCACUUUAACGAGACUGCCGGUGACAAACCGGAGGAAGGUGGGGAUGACGUCAAGUCCUCAUGGCCCUUAUGGGUAGGGCUUCACACGUCAUACAAUGGUCGGUACAAAGGGUUGCCAAGCCGCGAGGUGGAGCCAAUCCCAGAAAGCCGAUCGUAGUCCGGAUUGCAGGCUGCAACUCGCCUGCAUGAAGUCGGAAUCGCUAGUAAUCGUGGAUCAGCAUGUCACGGUGAAUACGUUCCCGGGUCUUGUACACACCGCCCGUCACACCAUGGGAGCGGGUUCCGCCAGAAGUAGGUAGCCUAACCGCAAGGGGGGCGCUUACCACGGCGGGGUUCGUGACUGGGGUGAAGUCGUAACAAGGUAGCCGUA
rnacentral:rRNA from 1 species